CAGAGUUCACUUACUGUUACUACAGCUUUCUUGCGCACAGUCGCAUGUUAGUUUGAUAAGUAAACUGCAGUGUGUAGAAAGGUACGGUGGUAUGUGCUGGACCUUCUGCGACGUCAGUGUAUGUGCAUAACCUCCAGGGUGACGUCUUGUGACAUCUCCGACGUACCGAGGAUGCAUAUGGUACAGCAGGCGUGUAACAGUUGUAGUGGACGCAAAGUGGAACUUCCUCUACGAGGUUGGUAGAAACAGAAUUACGUACAUAAGGAACUGCCUGGACUCUCAACAGCGUAGCAGCUUCUCGGCGUGAAGGGCGGAGCACAGCUUACCGGAGACAGGCGGAGCACGAGAGGAGUACACCGCUGCUGCCGACACGCCCAUGGAAGCGCACCUGCGGCUCCACUGAAACUCGCAGCCAGUGUGAGGCUACCGGACUGGGUGCGGGGCGAUGCUGAUUGAACCGGAGGGGCGCCCAGCAGUGAGAGACGAGAGCGCGGUCCCCGGCAGCGGCGACAGGCCGACGGCG